rnacentral:rRNA from 1 species
UGGGGAAUUUUGGACAAUGGGCGAAAGCCUGAUCCAGCAAUGCCGCGUGUGUGAAGAAGGCCUUCGGGUUGUAAAGCACUUUUGUCCGGAAAGAAAUCCUUGGCUCUAAUACAGUCGGGGGAUGACGGUACCGGAAGAAUAAGCACCGGCUAACUACGUGCCAGCAGCCGCGGUAAUACGUAGGGUGCAAGCGUUAAUCGGAAUUACUGGGCGUAAAGCGUGCGCAGGCGGUUUGCUAAGACCGAUGUGAAAUCCCCGGGCUCAACCUGGGAACUGCAUUGGUGACUGGCAGGCUAGAGUAUGGCAGAGGGGGGUAGAAUUCCACGUGUAGCAGUGAAAUGCGUAGAGAUGUGGAGGAAUACCGAUGGCGAAGGCAGCCCCCUGGGCCAAUACUGACGCUCAUGCACGAAAGCGUGGGGAGCAAGCAGGAUUAGAUACCCUGGUAGUCCACGCCCUAAACGAUGUCAACUAGUUGUUGGGGAUUCAUUUCCUUAGUAACGUAGCUAACGCGUGAAGUUGACCGCCUGGGGAGUACGGUCGCAAGAUUAAAACUCAAAUGAAUUGACGGGGUCAUA